rnacentral:piRNA from 1 species
UCAUUGUGAUGGGAAUGAGGAGAAGCUU